AGAGUUUGAUCCUGGCUCAGAACGAACGCUGGCGGCGUGGAUAAGACAUGCAAGUCGAGCGAGAUUUUUUCCUGUAGCAAUACAGGGAAAAGUCUAGCGGCGAACGGGUGCUUAACACGUGGGCAACCUGCCGAGAAGUGGGGGGAUAGCUCGCCGAAAGGCGAAUUAAUACCGCAUGUGAUUAGAGAGGACAUCCUCUCGAAAUUAAAGUCGGGGCAACCUGACGCUUUUUGUGGGGCCCGCGGCCUAUCAGCUAGUUGGUGAGGUAACGGCUCACCAAGGCUUUGACGGGUAGCUGGUCUGAGAGGACGACCAGCCACACUGGGACUGAGACACGGCCCAGACACCUACGGGUGGCAGCAGUCGAGAAUUUUUCUCAAUGGGGGAAACCCUGAAGGAGCGACGCCGCGUGGAGGAUGAAGGUCUUCGGAUUGUAAACUCCUGUCAUUGGGGAACAAGGUGCAUACGUUAACUGCGUGUGCAUUGAUAGUACCCGAAGAGGAAGAGACGGCUAACUCUGUGCCAGCAGCCGCGGUAAUACAGAGGUCUCAAGCGUUGUUCGGAUUCAUUGGGCGUAAAGGGUGCGUAGGCGGCGCGGUAAGUCGGGUGUGAAAUCUUGGAGCUUAACUCCGAAACUGCAUUCGAUACUGCCGUGCUUGAGGACUGGAGAGGAGACUGGAAUUUACGGUGUAGCGGUGAAAUGCGUAGAUAUCGUAAGGAAGACCAGUGGCGAAGGCGGGUCUCUGGACAGUUCCUGACGCUGAGGCACGAAGGUCAGGGGAGCAAACGGGAUUAGAUACCCUAGUAGUCC
rnacentral:rRNA from 1 species